GCUAGGAUAGCUCAGUAGGGAAAAGCAUGAGACUCUUAAUCUCAGGGUCGUGGGGUUCGAUUUUGGGCAAAAGAUUCCUGCAUUGCA